UCUGAAAUAAUAAUAGUUUUGGUCAUUUUACUAGAGGAAUAAUUUUACUAAGUGACUAAAAACUCAUAAAUUUUAUGGACGACUUACAUAUUUAAGCCUGAAUAAGUUGAUGCAACAAUGUAAAAGGAAAUCUCUGAUAACACUACGCUAACUACAAAAGGAUAGGAAAUUUGAUAUUGUUCACCUUGAGACCAGUUACUAAGGUAACUAUAUGAAAUAUACAUGUACUGUAAACCCAAUGGCCAGCUUCUGUGUUAUCAUAUAGAUUGAUGGGAUUGAUAUACCAAAAGCUGAAUGGUAUGAAAUAUGAUGCACAGUUGAGGAUAUUUUAACAGUUUAUCAGCAGAGUAAUCCUGUUCAAAUAAUCCAUAAAGAAGUACUGGAACGCAAGUGAAUAUAGUAUUGUAACACAUAAGAAAUAUACUAUCGAAAAGUGACUGAAAAAAAAAUUUUAAUGAAUCAAACAAGCUGAAUUAUAAUGUUAGUCUAUACAUCUGGUUAUCAGGCGGAUUUUAAUAAUUGUUACCUGAGUGGAAAAUUUGCUGGAGAAUCCAAAUAGAAACUGUGGUGUUAUAAAUACUAAAU